UUUCAUGUUUAUUGAAGUUGUUAAGUUGUUCGGCGCAACUUUUUCGCGCCGAGGGUGUUUUUAUUCAUUAACUUGAACGGUCUUUGUGUGUGAAUUAUUGAAAACGCGCGUUGGAGUAAAAACAAGUUAGGCAACCAUAUAUACACUAAUAUCCUAUUCAUUCUUUUUAUGUGAAUGAUUGAAAGCGUGUGGUGUAAGUUAGGCAACCAAAUACACACUAAAUUUUAUAGAGUGCACGCGUAUAAUGUGAUUAAAAGUCUAAUUGUUUUAAAAAUAAUGUUUUAUGCAUUUCAAUCAUAAUUAUCCUGGGUUUGGGCGGGCAAAGUCGAUUAUGGUUCAUUAGCAAAGUGAAACCGUUGCAGUGUUGAUGCACUGUAUUCAAUGUGUUAGUGUUAUUCAUUUUCUUUUCUCCUGUGUGAUGCGAUGAAAAUGGCUCGGCUUUUAAAACGAUUAAAAACUUGACGUAAUUCGUUUCGUUCCAGUACUCUUAGCGAAAAAUAUGCACUUUGAUGCAUUCGUUGCAAUUACAGCUCAUUUAGAAGUUUAAUGAUAAAAAGGCGUUUGUCAAAUAAACAAAUAAAGUGAUUCUGCAUAUUUAUCAACGGCUUUCAGGGGCGGCGCGUGGGUUGUGCAUGUUUUAGAGGGGCGCGAAUGCGAAUUUAAAAAUUUAGCGCCGAAAACGACGCGCCGCGUAUGAAUAUCAAAACUAGGCAUGAAGAACUGAGAAGGCGACGCAGACAUCUCGCCGCAUCUAUUAUUAACUGCAUGCUAAAAAUUUCAUAUCGCAAUAAGUACCCACUUUAGCCACGGUGCGUCCGUAAUUCUUCACACGCAUUUUAUGCACACUGUGUAAAAGUAUUGAUGUAAUUGAUAUUAACGCAAUUUAAUUAAAAUUUUUAAUAUUUAUUUUUUACUUUGAGGGUAAUAUCUGGCUGUCUUAAGGGUUGUGGCGUACACUAUUGGAAAGACAAACUAUUUCAUUAUAAAAUAGUGAUGGAAUAAGGCCAAAACUCCUGCUAGUUUGCGAGUUAUGGUUUGACAUUCAAUCGACUGACUCCUAUGAUGGAUCCACUCUCGAUGUAUGUGAAUAAUCCUUCAUGAUUUGAGACAGCUUCCUGAACCCUGAAAUAAUGAGGAGCAGGGGACGGGGACCUGGAUGGCGGAGGGUCCUUUCAAACCUGUCUACGAAUAUGUCCAGUUGAACAUGAAUUGUAUGAAGACGUGCCACAUCUCUGUGAAUAAAUGGCUAAUAGUCCACUCCACACUUGAUAAUUUUCAUUAGUUGUUGCUUAUUUAGAUUUGUAAAAUGUAGGCAUUGUUUCUUACGUAUAAGGAUAAUUAAUUGUUAUUACUUGAAGUGAUGAUUUAUUUGUUCGGUUGUUAAUAUAUUUGAUAUUAUGAAUGACAA